UGCCCAGCAACUUUUAUCCCUACCUCCUCGUGGUACUGGCCGGGGUACGAGUAACCUUAGGGAAGAUCGGGUAACCAACCCCCGGUGGGAACUUUGGUCGUAUGCUGACAGGGAAGG
rnacentral:ribozyme from 1 species